CCUACGGGAGGCUGCAGUGGGGAAUAUUGGACAAUGGGGGCAACCCUGAUCCAGCCAUGCCGCGUGUGUGAAGAAGGCCCUCGGGUUAUAAAGCACUUUCAGUGAGGAAGAACGCCUGGUGGUUAAUACCCAUCAGGAAAGACAUCACUCACAGAAGAAGCACCGGCUAACUCCGUGCCAGCAGCCGCGGUAAUACGGAGGGUGCGAGCGUUAAUCGGAAUUACUGGGCGUAAAGCGCGCGUAGGUGGCUUGAUAAGCCGGUUGGGAAAGCCCCGGGCUCAACCUGGGAACGGCAGCCGGAACUGUCAAGCUAGAGUGCAGGAGAGGAAGGUAGAAUUCCCGGUGUAGCGGUGAAAUGCGUAGAGAUCGGGAGGAAUACCAGUGGCGAAGGCGGCCUUCUGGACUGACACUGACACUGAGGUGCGAAAGCGUGGGUAGCAAACAGGAUUAGAUACCCGUGUAGUC
rnacentral:rRNA from 1 species